rnacentral:rRNA from 1 species
UUAAGCGACUAAGCGUACACGGUGGAUGCCCUGGCAGUCAGAGGCGAUGAAGGGCGUGCUAAUCUGCGAUAAGCGCCGGUAAGGUGAUAUGAACCGUUAUAACCGGCGAUACCCGAAUGGGGAAACCCAGUGUGACUCGUCACACUAUCAUUAACUGAAUCCAUAGGUUAAUGAGGCGAACCGGGGGAACUGAAACAUCUAAGUACCCCGAGGAAAAGAAAUCAACCGAGAUUCCCCCAGUAGCGGCGAGCGAACGGGGAGGAGCCCAGAGCCUGAAUCAGCAUGUGUGUUAGUGGAAGCGUCUGGAAAGGCGCGCGAUACAGGGUGACAGCCCCGUACACAAAAGCGCAUGUGCUGUGAGCUCGAUGAGUAGGGCGGGACACGUGGUAUCCUGUCUGAAUAUGGGGGGACCAUCCUCCAAGGCUAAAUACUCCUGACUGACCGAUAGUGAACCAGUACCGUGAGGGAAAGGCGAAAAGAACCCCGGCGAGGGGAGUGAAAAAGAACCUGAAACCGUGUACGUACAAGCAGUGGGAGCACCCUUUGGGUGUGACUGCGUACCUUUUGUAUAAUGGGUCAGCGACUUAUAUUCUGUAGCAAGGUUAACCGAAUAGGGGAGCCGGAGGGAAACCGAGUCUUAAUUGGGCGUUAAGUUGCAGGGUAUAGACCCGAAACCCGGUGAUCUAGCCAUGGGCAGGUUGAAGGUUGGGUAACACUAACUGGAGGACCGAACCGACUAAUGUUGAAAAAUUAGCGGAUGACCUGUGGCUGGGGGUGAAAGGCCAAUCAAACCGGGAGAUAGCUGGUUCUCCCCGAAAGCUAUUUAGGUAGCGCCUCGUGAAUUCAUCUCCGGGGGUAGAGCACUGUUUCGGCUAGGGGGCCAUCCCGGCUUACCAACCCGAUGCAAACUGCGAAUACCGGAGAAUGUUAUCACGGGAGACACACGGCGGGUGCUAACGUCCGUCGUGAAGAGGGAAACAACCCAGACCGCCAGCUAAGGUCCCAAAGUCAUGGUUAAGUGGGAAACGAUGUGGGAAGGCCCAGACAGCCAGGAUGUUGGCUUAGAAGCAGCCAUCAUUUAAAGAAAGCGUAAUAGCUCACUGGUCGAGUCGGCCUGCGCGGAAGAUGUAACGGGGCUAAACCAUGCACCGAAGCUGCGGCAGCGACACUGUGUGUUGUUGGGUAGGGGAGCGUUCUGUAAGCCUGUGAAGGUGUGUCGUGAGGCAUGCUGGAGGUAUCAGAAGUGCGAAUGCUGACAUAAGUAACGAUAAAGCGGGUGAAAAGCCCGCUCGCCGGAAGACCAAGGGUUCCUGUCCAACGUUAAUCGGGGCAGGGUGAGUCGACCCCUAAGGCGAGGCCGAAAGGCGUAGUCGAUGGGAAACGGGUUAAUAUUCCCGUACUUGGUGUUACUGCGAAGGGGGGACGGAGAAGGCUAUGUUGGCCGGGCGACGGUUGUCCCGGUUUAAGUGUGUAGGUGUGUGUUCCAGGUAAAUCCGGUUCACUUUAACACUGAGGCGUGACGACGAGGCACUACGGUGCUGAAGCAACAAAUGCCCUGCUUCCAGGAAAAGCCUCUAAGCAUCAGGUAACAUCAAAUCGUACCCCAAACCGACACAGGUGGUCAGGUAGAGAAUACCAAGGCGCUUGAGAGAACUCGGGUGAAGGAACUAGGCAAAAUGGUGCCGUAACUUCGGGAGAAGGCACGCUGACACGUAGGUGAAGUGAUUUACUCAUGGAGCUGAAGUCAGUCGAAGAUACCAGCUGGCUGCAACUGUUUAUUAAAAACACAGCACUGUGCAAACACGAAAGUGGACGUAUACGGUGUGACGCCUGCCCGGUGCCGGAAGGUUAAUUGAUGGGGUCAGCGCAAGCGAAGCUCCUGAUCGAAGCCCCGGUAAACGGCGGCCGUAACUAUAACGGUCCUAAGGUAGCGAAAUUCCUUGUCGGGUAAGUUCCGACCUGCACGAAUGGCGUAAUGAUGGCCAGGCUGUCUCCACCCGAGACUCAGUGAAAUUGAACUCGCUGUGAAGAUGCAGUGUACCCGCGGCAAGACGGAAAGACCCCGUGAACCUUUACUAUAGCUUGACACUGAACAUUGAGCCUUGAUGUGUAGGAUAGGUGGGAGGCUUUGAAGUGUGGACGCCAGUCUGCAUGGAGCCGACCUUGAAAUACCACCCUUUAAUGUUUGAUGUUCUAACGUGGACCCGUUACCCGGGUUGCGGACAGUGUCUGGUGGGUAGUUUGACUGGGGCGGUCUCCUCCUAAAGAGUAACGGAGGAGCACGAAGGUUGGCUAAUCCUGGUCGGACAUCAGGAGGUUAGUGCAAUGGCAUAAGCCAGCUUGACUGCGAGCGUGACGGCGCGAGCAGGUGCGAAAGCAGGUCAUAGUGAUCCGGUGGUUCUGAAUGGAAGGGCCAUCGCUCAACGGAUAAAAGGUACUCCGGGGAUAACAGGCUGAUACCGCCCAAGAGUUCAUAUCGACGGCGGUGUUUGGCACCUCGAUGUCGGCUCAUCACAUCCUGGGGCUGAAGUAGGUCCCAAGGGUAUGGCUGUUCGCCAUUUAAAGUGGUACGCGAGCUGGGUUUAGAACGUCGUGAGACAGUUCGGUCCCUAUCUGCCGUGGGCGCUGGAGAACUGAGGGGGGCUGCUCCUAGUACGAGAGGACCGGAGUGGACGCAUCACUGGUGUUCGGGUUGUCAUGCCAAUGGCACUGCCCGGUAGCUAAAUGCGGAAGAGAUAAGUGCUGAAAGCAUCUAAGCACGAAACUUGCCCCGAGAUGAGUUCUCCCUGAGACUUUAGGUCUCCUGAAGGAACGUUGAAGACGACGACGUUGAUAGGCCGGGUGUGUAAGCGCAGCGAUGCGUUGAGCUAACCGGUACUAAUGAACCGUGAGGCUUAACCUU